CCCAAAUCUGCAUUUUUUCCUCUGGCUGGCAGAUUUCCAAGAUAAAGAGGACUGCUCUCCGGCUGGAACAGCAGCCGGGGCCUGCUCUCCAAACUCACAAAAGAGAACACCACACACAGAGAAAAAGCGACGGGGCUGACCGGCCAGAAACGUCUUCUCACCCUCUGAAGCAAUUUCUCCAAUAAAGAAGGAAAACCCAAGCACCCGCGGCAGCCCCACGCCCCGGCCCCUGUUCCCACGCACCGGCGGGACGGGCGGGCAGCGCCGGCAGACUCGGGACGGGACGGGACGGGACGGGACGGGACGGGACGGCGGCUCCUUCGCGCCGGGUCGGGCAGGGAUAAAUUGCUCCUCUUUCUGAUAACUGGGGAACCAGAAUCCACAUGAAGCUUCCUCCCUUUUCAGUCACCCCUCCCCAGGCUGUUUCUUUGGAAAGUGGGAGGAAGCACUGUCUUGUCACUCAGAAUCACAGACUACGCUGAGUUGGACGGGACUCAUCAGGAUCAUCGAGUCCAACUCCUGGCUUUGCACAGGACACCCCAAGAGUCACACCCUGUGCCUGAGAGUGCUGUCCAGAUGCUUCUUGAACUGUCAGGCUUGGGGCUGUGACCACUUCCCUGGGGAGCCUGUUCCAGUGCCCAACCACCCUCUGGGGGAAGAACUU